UUGAAAGGGAAACGAUUGAAGUCAGUCGUACCUGUGGGUAAUCAGCCUUUUGGGUGUGAUUUUGUGGAGUGUGAGGAGUUAAACGCCUUCAUGCCUGCAUAUUCGUGCACUUUGGGUGUAUUUACCCGUGUGGUAAGUUAACAUCAAUUUCGGUGAUCAUAAAAUGGCUGGAGGAAUGUAGCUUCGAUCUUGUAUUGAAGUGUUAUAGCCUUCGGUAGAUGUGAUGAUCGGGAUUGAGGAUUGCAACGGAUACCCUUCGGGGCUACCUGUCUGAUCUCUGAUCGUUGCUCUGGUGCCGAAAGCUUGCUUACGGUUAUCAAAGUCGAUGGUCAAUAGGUUAGAAUGGGUUAAAUUCGUUAAGGAUGUUGACGUA
rnacentral:rRNA from 1 species